rnacentral:rRNA from 1 species
GAUGAACGCUGGCGGCGUGCCUAAUACAUGCAAGUCGAGCGAAUGGAUUAAGAGCUUGCUCUUAUGAAGUUAGCGGCGGACGGGUGAGUAACACGUGGGUAACCUGCCAAUAAGACUGGGAUAACUCCGGGAAACCGGGGCUAAUACCGGAUAACAUUUUGAACGGCAUGGUUCGAAAUUGAAAGGCGGCUUCGGCUGUUACUUAUGGAUGGACCCGCGUCGCAUUAGCUAGUUGGUGAGGUAACGGCUCACCAAGGCAACGAUGCGUAGCCGACCUGAGAGGGUGAUCGGCCACACUGGGACUGAGACACGGCCCAGACUCCUACGGGAGGCAGCAGUAGGGAAUCUUCCGCAAUGGACGAAAGUCUGACGGAGCAACGCCGCGUGAGUGAUGAAGGCUUUCGGGUCGUAAAACUCUGUUGUUAGGGAAGAACAAGUGCUAGUUGAAUAAGCUGGCACCUUGACGGUACCUAACCAAAAAGCCACGGCUAACUACGUGCCAGCCGCCGCAGUAA